CCCUUAGAUGUUCUGGGCUGCACGCGUGCUACACUGAUUAUUUCAACAAGUGUUUUAACUGGAGAGUUUGCGUAAUCCUGAAAUGUUAUCGUGAUGGGAGUAGAGUAUUGUAUUUGUUAAUCUUUAACGAGGAAUUCCUAGUAAGUGUAGGUUUAUAAGUUGUUCUGAUUACGUCCCUGCCCUUUGUACACACCGCCCGUCGCUCCUACCGAUUGAAUGCUCAGGUGAGCCAUUCGGACCUUCAUCAUGCCGGUUUCCGGUUUUGAUGAGGGAAAGUCUUGCGAACCUUAUCAUUUAGAGGAAGGAGAAGUCGUAACA
rnacentral:rRNA from 1 species